UAGGGAAUCUUCGGCAAUGGACGAAAGUCUGACCGAGCAACGCCGCGUGAGUGAAGAAGGUUUUCGGAUCGUAAAACUCUGUUGUUAGAGAAGAACAAGGACGUUAGUAACUGAACGUCCCCUGACGGUAUCUAACCAGAAAGCCACGGCUAACUACGUGCCAGCAGCCGCGGUAAUACGUAGGUGGCAAGCGUUGUCCGGAUUUAUUGGGCGUAAAGCGAGCGCAGGCGGUUUCUUAAGUCUGAUGUGAAAGCCCCCGGCUCAACCGGGGAGGGUCAUUGGAAACUGGUAGACUUGAGUGCAGAAGAGGAGAGUGGAAUUCCAUGUGUAGCGGUGAAAUGCGUAGAUAUAUGGGGGAACACCAGUGGCGAAGGCGGCUCUCUGGUCUGUAACUGACGCUGAGGCUCGAAAGCGUGGGGAGCAAACAGG
rnacentral:rRNA from 1 species